rnacentral:rRNA from 1 species
AUUGAACGCUGGCGGCAUGCUUUACACAUGCAAGUCGAACGGCAGCGCGGGCUUCGGCCUGGCGGCGAGUGGCGAACGGGUGAGUAAUGCAUCGGAACGUGCCCAGUAGUGGGGGAUAGCCCGGCGAAAGCCGGAUUAAUACCGCAUACGACCUGAGGGUGAAAGCGGGGGACCGAAAGGCCUCGCGCUAUUGGAGCGGCCGAUGUCGGAUUAGCUAGUUGGUGGGGUAAAGGCUUACCAAGGCGACGAUCCGUAGCUGGUCUGAGAGGACGACCAGCCACACUGGGACUGAGACACGGCCCAGACUCUUACGGGAGGCAGCAGUGGGGAAUUUUGGACAAUGGGGGCAACCCUGAUCCAGCCAUGCCGCGUGCGGGAAGAAGGCCUUCGGGUUGUAAACCGCUUUUGUUCGGGAAGAAAUCCUCUGGGCUAAUACCCCGGGGGGAUGACGGUACCGGAAGAAUAAGCACCGGCUAACUACGUG